rnacentral:rRNA from 1 species
GGGGGACCACCCUCUAAGCCUAAAUACUCUUCAGUGACCGAUAGUGAACUAGUACCGUGAGGGAAAGGUGAAAAGAACCCCUAUUAGGGGAGUGAAAUAGAACCUGAAACCGGAUGCCUACAAUCAGUCGGAGCUCUAUAUGAGUGACGACGUACCUUUUGUAUAAUGGGUCAGUGACUUUAUCUGUGCAGCAAGCUUAAGCCGAAAAGGUGUAGGCGUAGCGAAAGCGAGUCUGAAUAGGGCGAUGAGUUGUACGGAUAAGAACCCGAAACCUAGUGAUCUAGUUAUGAGCAGGUUGAAGGUAAGGUAACACUUACUGGAGGACCGAACCGGUGCCUGUUGAAAAAGGCUCGGAUGACUUGUGAUUAGGGGUGAAAGGCCAAUCAAACUGGGAGAUAGCUGGUUUUCCGCGAAAACUAUUUAGGUAGUGCGUUGAAUAAUAAGAUCUUGAGGGGUAGAGCACUAAAUAGGCUAGGGGGAAGAAAUUCUUACUAAACCUAAUAAAACUCCGAAUACUCAAGAUUGUUUCUCAAUAGACAGACGGUGGGAGCUAACUUCCAUCGUCGAGAGGGAAAAAACCCAGACCACCAUCUAAGGUCCCAAAAUCGUAGUUAAGUGUGAAAGGAUGUGAAGACUCCAAAACAGCCGGGAGGUUGGCUUAGAAGCAGCCAUCCUUUAAAGAAAGCGUAACAGCUCACCGGUCUAAUUAAGAGACUUUGCGCCGAAGAUGUAACGGGGCUCAAACUACGUACCGAAGUUGUGGAUUUAAAGUGUCUACGGACAUUUUAUCUGGUAGCGGAACGUUCUGUAAGUCUGCGAAGGGAUACCCGCGAGGGGUCCUGGAGAUAUCAGAAGUGCGAAUGCUGACAUAAGUAGCGACAAACAGAGUGAAAGACUCUGUCGCCGAAAAUACAAGGGUUCCUGCGUAAAGUUAAUCUUCGCAGGGUUAGUCGGCCCCUAAGGCGAGGGCGAAAGCCGUAGUCGAUGGGAACAAGGUAAAUAUUCCUUGACCUGAUGGUAGUGACGGAUCUCGUAUAUUGUAAGUUCUUAUUGGAUUGAACUUGCCUUGAAGAGGUCCCAGGAAAUAACUCCAUCAUUAAGACCGUACCCUAAACGGACACACGUGUAUUGGUAGAGAAUACCUAGGCGCUUGAGAGAAUGAUGUUGAAGGAACUCGGCAACUUGCCUCUGUAACUUCGGGAUAAAGAGGGCCUUAUUUUGCGCAAGCAGAGUAAGGUGGCACAAGCCAGGGAGUAGCGACUGUUUAACAAAAACACAGGACUCUGCUAACACGUAAGUGGAUGUAUAGGGUCUGACGCCUGCCCGGUGCCGGAAGGUUAAGUGAUGAGGUCAGCGCAAGCGAAGCUUCUGAUCGAAGCCCCGGUAAACGGCGGCCGUAACUAUAACGGUCCUAAGGUAGCGAAAUUCCUUGUCGGGUAAGUUCCGACCUGCACGAAUGG